rnacentral:rRNA from 1 species
AGAGUUUGAUCCUGGCUCAGGAUAAACGCUGGCGGCGUGCCUAAAACAUGCAAGUCGAGCGGCAGCGAGUUCGACACUGUGUACUUGAGUUUCGAGUAUAGAGUGUUGAAUGUCGGCGAGCGGCGGACGGGUGAGUAACGCGUAGGAAUAUACCCCAAAGUGAGGGAUAAGCUCAAGAAAUUGAGUCUAAUACCGCAUAUGGUCUUCGGAUUAAAGCUUCGGCGCUUUGGGAAUAGCCUGCGUAUGAUUAGCUAGUUGGCGGGGUAAUGGCCCACCAAGGCGACGAUCAUUAGCUGGUCUGAGAGGAUGAUCAGCCACACUGGAACUGAGACACGGUCCAGACUCCUACGGGAGGCAGCAGUUAGGAAUCUUCCACAAUGGGCGAAAGCCUGAUGGAGCAACGCCGCGUGCAGGAUGAAGGCCUUCGGGUUGUAAACUGCUUUUAUGAGUGAAGAAUAUGACGGUAACUCAUGAAUAAGGGUCUGCUAACUACGUGCCAGCAGCCGCGGUCAUACGUGGGACCCAAGCGUUAUCCGGAUUAACUGGGCGUAAAGAGUUGCGUAGGCGGUUUGUUAAGCGAAUAGUGAAACCUGGUGGCUCAACCAUUCAGACUAUUAUUCGAACUGGCAAACUAGAGAUCAGUAGGGGUACCUGGAAUUUCUAAUGUAGGGGUAAUAUCCGUAGAUAUUAGAAGGAACACCGAUAGCGUAGGCAGGGUACUGGACUGAUUCUGACGCUCAGGCACGAAAGCGUGGGGAGCGAACCGGAUUAGAUACCCGGGUAGUCCACGCCGUAAACUAUGGAUGCUAGCUGUUGGCCGUAUCGACCCGGUCAGUAGCGAAGUUAACGCGUUAAGCAUCCCGCCUGAGGAGUACGGUCGCAAGAUUAAAACUCAAAGGAAUUGACGGGGACCCGCACAAGCGGUGGAGCGUGUUGUUUAAUUCGAUGAUAAGCGAAGAACCUUACCCAGGCUUGACAUCCUGCCAAUUUUUCCGAAAGGAAAAAGUGCCCCGUAGUCAUUUUGACACUGAAAUAUUCUAAUUUCAGAUUCUGUCGAGAUGAGUACGGGGCAAGCAGUGACAGGUGUUGCAUGGCCGUCGUCAGCUCGUGUCGUGAGAUGUUUGGUUAAGUCCAUCAACGAGCGCAACCCUUAUGAAUAGUUGUAUUUUUCUAUUCAGACUGCCUCGGCAACGGGGAGGAAGGAGGGGAUGAUGUCAGGUCAGUAUUACCCUUACGUCUGGGGCUACAAACGCGCUACAAUGGCCGGUACAAUGCGCAGCCAAGUCGCGAGACGGAGCAAAUCGCAUCAAAGCCGGUCCCAGUUCGGAUUGCAGGCUGAAACUCGCCUGCAUGAAGUUGGAAUCGCUAGUAAUCGCAGGUCAGCACACUGCGGUGAAUACGUUCCCGGGUCUUGUACACACCGCCCGUCAAACCAUGAAAGUCACCAACACCCGAAGUCUGAAUUUAUUUCGGCCUAAGGUGGGGGGGAUAAUUGGGGUUAAGUCGUAACAAGGUA